rnacentral:rRNA from 1 species
GCAGCCGCCGCGGGAAUACAGAGGGUGCGAGCGUUAAUCGGAUUUACUGGGCGUAAAGCGUGCGUAGGCGGCUUUUUAAGUCGGAUGUGAAAUCCAUGAGCUUAACUUAGGAAUUGCAUUCGAUACUGGGAAGCUAGAGUAUGGGAGAGGAUGGUAGAAUUCCAGGUGUAGCGGUGAAAUGCGUAGAGAUCUGGAGGAAUACCGAUGGCGAAGGCAGCCAUCUGGCCUAAUACUGACGCUGAGGUACGAAAGCAUGGGGAGCAAACAGGAUUAGAUACCCCUGUAGUCCCUGUCUCUUAUAU